AGAAAGUUAGUCUAAACCAAGACAGUUGAUUUCGACUCAACAAAUCAUAGCUUACUGCCAUGGCUUUCUU
rnacentral:tRNA from 1 species